rnacentral:other from 1 species
CACCGGCCGAGACAGCCCAGAGAGACAGACCGAUUGUGGUGUUUCGCUAGUGUGCGAGGUAAGCGCCGCGGCCUGCAUUUCCAGACCUACCCUUCGCUGGUUCGUGGCGCCUUGUGACUCCCGUCCCCCGCCCCCUGCCGCCUGCAAGUCAGAAAUCGCGCUGCGCUCCUGUGCUGCGGCCUGUGGCUGGACUGCCUGCGACGCCCUGCCUGCUGCCGCCCGACUGGUUGGCAAGAUGAAGCUCUCCCUGGUGGCCGCGAUGCUGCUG